rnacentral:rRNA from 1 species
UACAGAGGGUGCUAGCGUUGUUCGGAAUGACUGGGCGUAAAGGGCGCGUAGGCGGUUAUAUUAGUCAAGCGUGAAAGCCCCGGGCUUAACCCGGGAAUUGCGCCUGAAACGGUAUAACUAGAGGACGAGAGAGGAAAGCGGAAUUCCUAGUGUAGAGGUGAAAUUCGUAGAUAUUAGGAGGAACAUCAGAGGCGAAGGCGGCUUUCUGGCUCGUUACUGACGCUGAGGCGCGAAAGCGUGGGGAGCAAACAGG